ensembl:lncRNA
GCCGCCGCCGCCGCCGCUUUACGUCAGGCGCCCGCCCCGGCCCGCCCGGCGCUCGGCAGCCGCUCGGAGCCCGCGGAGCGAGGAGGCGCCCCCGCCGCGGCCGCCGCGCCGCCCGGCCGCUCGCUCGGCAGUGCGUCUCAUCAGAACAAGAAGGCACCUUUCCCACAAGAGCUAUAACAUAGCCUCUGCGGACGCAGCCCUCGGCAGCAGGGAGGAGCCCACAUUCAGAGGACUGGACGCAGUUCACACAGAAAAACACACUUGCAAAUCGAAGAACAGUGUUUCUAAGCUUUUUCACUGACCAUGCGAUAGACACUGUCACAGAACCGAAACGUGUCUGAAGUGGAACGUAUCCGGGCCCUGCCUGUGCAGGCUGGUGGUAGCCUUGAAAGGGCUCAGGGAGCGCCCUGCUGUCUCUGUGGCUGCACUGGAGCAGGGCCCAUCUCGCUUUCUCUCCGGCUCGGGCCUCAGGUCUCCCAGCUUCUCAAGAUGCCUCCAGACCUGUGGGGACAGUGAACCGUAUCCAGAAACCACGAUUAAGAAAGAUAUGCUGGGGGUGGGGUGGGGUAAGAAUCUGCCUACCCACACAGGGGACACAGGUUCGAUCCCUGGUCCAGGAAGAUCACACCUGCCUUGGAGCAGGUAAGCCUGUUCACCACCACUAGCUCAGCGUAGCCCUGGAGCCUGUGCUCUGCAACCAGAGAAGCUGCUGCAGUGAGAGACCUGGGCACCGCAGCUGGAGAGGAGCCCUCGCUUGGCUCAGCUUAGAGAAAGCCCAGGCGCGACAGUGAAGAUCCAGCACAACCAGAUGAGCAGAUUAAUAAAAGGAAGGAUGUGCUAGAUGUGAAGCAAAACGGCUUGUCUUUGACUUCAAAAUCGUAUGCCAGCAAGGCUGCAAGUCAGAUGAGGGGUGAACGGUAUGGCAGAGAGGACACAGCUUUGGACC